GGGAAUGGAGGGAAGUAGAUGGUGGAGGCAACGAGCCUGGGAAGAGAAUACGACCUGGUUUAGACAAACAGUUCAAAUAUGCAUCUCUCACUUCAGACAGAAGCCGUCCAGUCCAACAGAGCAGGACAAGUCAAUUCUGACAGAAACAUCAGAUAUCCAUGAAGUUUCACAUUGUCAGCAAAGGGCCUUUCAACAGGUCUGACUGAGGGGGAUCUCUGCUGUUAUGAUGGAAUUCCCUCCAACGUCCAACAGAGGACAUGUUGAAAAGACUGCACUGCUCUACUAUCCAGCAGGGUAUAUACAGUGCUACCCGCCACUAGUCCUCGUACUUCCCAAAGACAGGCAUAUGAUGGUUGCUCAUUUUACUG